rnacentral:rRNA from 1 species
UUAGAGGAAGUAAAAGUCGUAACAAGGUUUCCGUAGGUGAACCUGCGGAAGGAUCAUUACCAAAUGUCCUAUGACACGCUUUGCGCCCGGCCCAGGCCGGGCCAGAGUUCAAACCUCCUGUGAACAAAACACAAUUCGCUUUGGCAGCGGGCGCGGUUGGGAGCACGCUCCCGCCGGGCCGUGAGUCUGCCAACGGCACCAAUUUGAAAACUUGCUCGUAAACAAAAGUCUGAAACCAUUCUGUUCGAAUGAAAAUCAAAACUUUCAACAACGGAUCUCUUGGUUCUCGCAUCGAUGAAGAACGCAGCGAAACGCGAUAGUUAAUGUGAAUUGCAGAAUUCAGUGAAUCAUCGAGUCUUUGAACGCACAUUGCGCCCGUUGGUAUUCCGACGGGCACGUCUGUUUGAGCGUCAUUGCAACCCUUCGGUCAGGCAUUUUUGGUGCCCGCGCCGGUUAUGAGUUCCAGCCCAGGCUGGCUUUAAAGUUGCAAGCUCUGCGGGCCCCAGACCUGGAAGAACAUAGUAAAAUUCAAGCUUGCUCGAAAAGGUCCUGGGCGCUUCCGCCUGAACAAAUCAUCUUUCUAAGGUUUGACCUCAGAUCAGACGAGGAUACCCGCUGAACUUAAGCAUAUCAAUAAGCGGAGGAAAAGAAACCAACAGGGAUUGCCUCAGUAACGGCGAGUGAAGCGGCAAAAGCUCAAAUUUGAAAUCUGGCUCCUUUGGCGCCCGAGUUGUAAUUUGAAGAGGAUGCCUCGGUUGCGGUUCCGGCGUAAGUUCCUUGGAACAGGACGUCACAGAGGGUGAGAAUCCCGUACGUCGCCGGUGACCUGCUUCCAUGUGUGGCUCCUUCGAAGAGUCGAGUUGUUUGGGAAUGCAGCUCAAAAUGGGUGGUAAAUUUCAUCUAAAGCUAAAUACUGGCGAGAGACCGAUAGCGCACAAGUAGAGUGAUCGAAAGAUGAAAAGCACUUUGAAAAGAGAGUUAAACAGUACGUGAAAUUGUUGAAAGGGAAGCGCUUGCAAUCAGACUCACUUUCGGUUGAUCAACGUUCCUUCUGGUUCGUGCACUCUGCCGUCUGUGGGCCAGCAUCGGUUGGCGCGGCGGGACAAAGGCUCCGGGAAUGUGGCUCCCUCGGGAGUGUUAUAGCCCGGUGCGCAAUGCCGCCUGCUGCCGACCGAGGUCCGCGCUCCGGCUAGGAUGCUGGCUUAAUGGUUGUAAGCGACCCGUCUUGAAACACGGACCAAGGAGUCUAACAUCUAUGCGAGUGUUUGGGUGUCAAACCCAUUCGCGCAAUGAAAGUGAACGGAGGUGGGAGCCUUUUGGCGCACCAUCGACCGAUCCUGACGUUUUCAGAAGGAUUUGAGUAUGAGCAUAGCUGUUGGGACCCGAAAGAUGGUGAACUAUGCCUGAAUAGGGUGAAGCCAGAGGAAACUCUGGUGGAGGCUCGCAGCGGUUCUGACGUGCAAAUCGAUCGUCAAAUUUGGGUAUAGGGGCGAAAGACUAAUCG